rnacentral:misc_RNA from 1 species
CCGAGUUUGCGAACUCCCAAAACCCCCUGUGAACGUACCUACACCCGUUGCUUCGGCGGUGCCGCCCCGGGCGCGGGCCUCCCCCUCGAGGCCGCCAGCCCCGGAACCAGGCGCCCGCCGGAGGACCCCAAAACCCUCACGCAUUCUCCAGCGUCCUCUGAGCCCCUCGCGCCCUCCGGGCGGGAAGGGGGAAAACGAAAAAUGAAUCA